AUGGGGAGGGGUCGUGACCUGCGCCCCGGGCCGGGGUCACUCACCGCCCUCGCUCUGGUUGUAGUAGCGGAGCGCGAUCCGCAGGUUCUCUCGUUCAGUCUGUGCCUGGGCCUUGCAGAUCUGUGUGUUCCGGUCCCAAUACUCUGGCCCCUCCCGCUCCAUCCACGGCGCCCGCGGCUCCUCUCUCGGACUCGCGUCGUCGCUGUCGAACCGCACGAACUGCGUAUCGUCCACGUAGCCGACGGAGAUGAAGCGGGGCUCCCCGCGGCCGGGCCGGGACAUGGUGGUGUAGAAAUACCUCAUGGAGUGGGAGCCUGGGAGCGAGGAGGAGCUGAGACCGGCCCGACCCUCCUCCCUGCGCGGAUCCCCGGGUCCUGCGCCCCCGCCGGGCGGGCCCCUCGCUCCUCCCGACCAUUUCCCUGCAGACCCUGCACUCACGCGCCCAGGUCUGGGUCAGGGUCAGGGCCAGGGCCCCUGAGAGCAGCAGGAGGAGGGUUCGGGGCGCCAUGAGCACCAUCCUCGGCGUCUGGGGAGAAUCUGAGUCCCGGUGGGUGCGUGGGGACUUUAGAACCGGGACCGCGGCGGCACCGAUUGGCUUCUCUAGAAACCCGACACCUAGUGGGAAUGAGAACUGUGUCCGCUUCGUGAGUAUCAAGGAAGAAGGACCCGUCGCAGGUUGUGAGAAGAAGAGAAACUGCGGAGGUGGCGAAUCCCUAAGGCGGGGCAUCCCCAAUCCAUACACCGCCUUCGGGGCCUGAGACCCUGAGAGCCACGCCUGGGGCCCUGGGACUUCGCCCUGACCCCGCUCCUCCUGUGCCAAGCGCUCUGUCUCAGUGUUUCCCUGAGUCUUGGCCCAGGAGCUGUCUGAGAAACCAGGAAGAAACCCUCGGCAUGGGCCCUGUCCCUCUCCCUUCACUUUUCAUCCCGGAAUCUCCGUCCCUGAACUGGACUCCCUGUCCACCUGGACUCUUCUAG
rnacentral:lncRNA from 1 species